AAGAUAAGAUUAGAAACACUUUGCUGUAGGUAUAUAUACGUAGCCAUGAAUUACGUUGGGAAGUGUUAAACAUGAAAAGUUUCAUUCUAUGCACUGUGUUGGUCUUGGCGUUAGUUGAGCUGUCAAUGGCUGGUGUCUCAAAAUGCUACGUAGGGCCAAAAUCCAGUUGUGACUGUAAAUGGUUAUUUGGUUCGUGUGAUGACGGAUAUUUCAACUGCGGCAGAGACGAGUUAAACAUUUGCGGAUUAUGGUACGUAACCUGCUGCAAAAUUUCUGAUUCCUAGAUGGCGCUGCCUCUACAUUAAUUAUUUCUGUUACAAUGUCAAUAAAAUUGUUAUAAAUUAUUAACUUUUUCUGUAUUGUUGUUUGUAUGCGUUUGCGUAUAUGAAAUAUGUAGCAUUGAGAAUGUAGUACCUAUGUAAAAUCCUUACGCAUUAAAUUAAAUUAACUAAA